rnacentral:rRNA from 1 species
AUGACGCUAGCGGCAGGCUUAAUACAUGCAAGUCGAGGGGCAGCAUAGUGUAGCAAUACAUGGGUGGCGACCGGCAAACGGGUGCGGAACACGUACGCAACCUUCCUUCAAGCGGGGAAUAGCCAGGGAAACUUGGAUUAAUACCCCGUAAGAUCACGAAAUGGCAUCAUUUUGUGAUGAAAGCUCCGGCGCUUGAAGAUGGGCGUGCGUCUGAUUAGGUAGUUGGUGGGGUAACGGCUCACCAAGCCUUCGAUCAGUAACUGGUGUGAGAGCACGACCAGUCACACGGGCACUGAGACACGGGCCCGACUCCUACGGGAGGCAGCAGUAAGGAAUAUUGGUCAAUGGACGCAAGUCUGAACCAGACAUGCCGCGUGAAGGAUGAAGGUCCUCUGGAUUGUAAACUUCUUUUGAUGGGGAAGAAACCCUAGUUUUCUAACUAGGUUGACGG